GUCCACGCCGUAAACGAUGAUAACUAGCUGUCCGGGCACUUGGUGCCUGGGUGGCGCAGCUAACGCAUUAAGUUAUCCGCCUGGGGAGUACGGUCGCAAGAUUAAAACUCAAAUGAAUUGACGGGGGCCUGCACAAGCGGUGGAGCAUGUGGUUUAAUUCGAAGCAACGCGCAGAACCUUACCAGCGUUUUACAUGCCUAGUUUGGUUUCCAGAGAUGGAUUCCUUCAGUUCGGCUGGCUAGGACACAGGUGCUGCAUGGCUGUCGU
rnacentral:rRNA from 1 species